rnacentral:rRNA from 1 species
UACGGGGGGGAGCAAGCGUUGUUCGGAUUUACUGGGCGUAAAGGGCGCGUAGGCGGUCAGCACAAGUCAGUUGUGAAAUCUCCGGGCUUAACUCGGAAAGGUCAACUGAUACUGUGCGACUAGAGUGCGGAAGGGGCAACUGGAAUUCUCGGUGUAGCGGUGAAAUGCGUAGAUAUGUGGAGGAACACCGAUGGCGAAGGCAGCCCCCCUGGGUCAAGACUGACGCUCAUGCACGAAAGCGUGGGGAGCAAACAGG